AAUAUAGUUUGAGAACCCAAAUUGCAAUUUUUUUAUAUUUCUGAUUCGAGUCUCGGAGGCCCCUAAAAUUUGGGGGCCCGGGGCAUAUGCCCUUAAUGCCCCCCGUCAAAUCCGGUCCUGCAUGGUAUAAUAGAAAAACAAAAACGUGUGCAUGGCCUAAAGCGAAGAAUUGUGCAAAAAGAUUAAUUGAAAAAAAAAGCAUAUCCAAAUAAGUUGGAGUAUAAUUGGUUACCAGCGAGAAUAUUAGGACGAAAAUAUGGAAGCCUAGAAGAAGCCCGUAAUAAAGCAAAUAAGGCUCUUAUUUUUUCAGAUUUAUCUGCAAACGACGAUCAUAUUAUUAAAAAAGUCACCAAAAAAACAUUUGAAAUGAAACAAUUUGAAAGUCCUCCAACUUUAAAAUCUA